CGUGGGCGCUGGAGAAUUGAGGGGGGCUGCUCCUAGUACGAGAGGACCGGAGUGGACGCAUCACUGGUGUUCGGGUUGUCAUGCCAAUGGCACUGCCCGGUAGCUAAAUGCGGAAAAGAUAAGUGCUGAAAGCAUCUAAGCACGAAACUUGCCCCGAGAUGAGUUCUCCCUGAGACUUUGAGUCUCCUGAAGGAACGUUAAAGACGAUGACGUUGAUAGGCCGGGUGUGUAAGCGCAGCGAUGCGUUGAGCUAACCGGUACUAAUGAACCGUGAGGCUUAACCUUACAACGCCGAAG
rnacentral:rRNA from 1 species